CGCACGGGUGAGUAACACGUAAGUAAUCUACCUUCGAGUGGGGAAUAACGUCGGGAAACCGACGCUAAUACCGCAUAAUGCAGCGGCACCUAAUGGUGACAGUUGUUAAAGGAGCAAUUCGCUUGAAGAGGAGCUUGCGGCAGAUUAGCUAGUUGGUAAGGUAACGGCUUACCAAGGCUACGAUCUGUAACCGGUCUAAGAGGACGGUCGGUCACACUGACACUGAAUAACGGGUCAG
rnacentral:rRNA from 1 species